rnacentral:rRNA from 1 species
UAGCAUAUCAAUAAGCGGAGGAAAAGAAACUAACAAGGAUUCCCCUAGUAACGGCGAGUGAAGUGGGAAAAGCUCAACUUUGAAAUCUGGCAGCUUCGCUGUCCGAGUUGUAGUCUCGAGAAGUGUUUUCCGCGCUGGACCAUGUAUGAGUCUGUUGGAAUACAGCGUCAUAGAGGGUGAGAACCCCGUUCAUGACAUGACUUCCAGUGCUUUGUGAUACACUUUCGAUGAGUCGAGUUGUUUGGGAAUGCAGCUCAAAAUGGGUGGUAAAUUCCAUCUAAAGCUAAAUAUUGGGGAGAGACCGAUAGCAAACAAGUACCGUGAGGGAAAGAUGAAAAGCACUUUGGAAAGAGAGUUAACAGUACGUGAAAUUGUUGAAAGGGAAACGCUUGAAGUCAGACUUGCGUAGUGCCUUCGGGUGCUGUUGCAGGCCAGCAUCAGUUUUUCGAGCCGGAUAAAGGUGGGAGGAAGGUGGCAGCUCCGGCUGUGUUAUAGCCUCCCACUGAAUACGGAUCUUGAGACUGAGGAAUGCGAUUCUAGGAUGCUGGUGUAAUGGCUUUAAACGACCCGUCUUGAAACACGGACCAAGGAGUCUAACAUGCUUGCGAGUGUUUGGGUGGUCAAACCCAUACGCGUAAUGAAAGUGAAUGGAGGUGGGAUCCUUUACCGGAGCACCAUCGACCGAACCGGAUUUUUAAUGAAGGUUUUGAGUAAGAGCACGUAUGUUGGGACCCGAAAGAUGGUGAACUAUGCCUGAAUAGGGUGAAGCCAGAGGAAACUCUGGUGGAGGCUCGUAGCGGUUCUGACGUGCAAAUCGAUCGUCAAAUUUGGGUAUAGGGGCGAAAGACUAAUCGAACCAUCUAGUAGCUGGUUCCUGCCAAUUUCCCCCCCAAAA